rnacentral:rRNA from 1 species
UACGUAGGUGGCAAGCGUUGUCCGGAUUUAUUGGGUUUAAAGGGUGCGUAGGCGGUCUUUUAAGUCAGUGCUGAAAUACUCCAGCUUAACUGGAGGGGUGGCAUUGAUACUGGAAGACUUGAGUGCAGUCGAAAGUAGGCGGAAUUGACGGUGUAGCGGUGAAAUGCUUAGAUAUCGUCAAGAACACCGAUAGUGAAGACAGCUUACUAGGCUGCAACUGACGCUGAGGCACGAAAGUGUGGGGAUCAAACAGG